GUGAAUCAUCAAAUUUUUGAACGCAAAUUGCACUCUCCGGUUUUCCGGGAGAGUAUGCCUGUUUGAGGGUCAGCCUAAAAAAAAUCGACACUGUUGCUGUUAUUUAAUGGUGACUUUCGUCGGAGAUUGGGUUAUCUUAAACCUUUUUUUUUUUUUUGGUUUAAGCGACUUAAAAUUUUUUUUCAAGAUUUCAUGAAAGUUUUUAAGAUUUUUAUUUUUUUUAGGUUUU
rnacentral:misc_RNA from 1 species